rnacentral:rRNA from 1 species
UACGAAGGGUGCAAGCGUUAAUCGGAAUUACCGGGCGUAAAGGGUGCGUAGGCGGUUCGUUAAGUCUGUCGUGAAAUCCCCGGGCUCAACCUGGGAAUGGCGAUGGAUACUGGCGAGCUAGAGUGUGUCAGAGGAUGGUGGAAUUCCCGGUGUAGCGGUGAAAUGCGUAGAGAUCGGGAGGAACAUCGGUGGCGAAGGCGGCCAUCUGGGACAACACUGACGCUGAAGCACGAAAGCGUGGGGAGCAAACAGG